GCGCUCGUAGUGAAAAGGAUAUCACGGCAGCCUCCGAAGCUGCAAGUACAGGUUCGAUUCCUGUCGGGCGCA
rfam:Elusimicrobia bacterium RIFCSPLOWO2_12_FTLL_59_9 rifcsplowo2_12_scaffold_9246, whole genome shotgun sequence.